AGAGUGAACGCUGGCGGUAGGCCUAACACAUGCAAGUCGAACGGCAGCACAGUGGUAGCAAUACCAUGGGUGGCGAGUGGCGGACGGGUGAGGAAUACAUCGGAAUCUACCUUUUCGUGGGGGAUAACGUAGGGAAACUUACGCUAAUACCGCAUAAGACCUUCGGGUGAAAGCCGGGGACCUUCGGGCCUGGCGCGGAUAGAUGAGCCGAUGUCGGAUUAGCUUGUUGGCGGGUAAAAGCCCACCAAGGCGACGAUCCGUAGCUGGUCUGAGAGGAUGAUCAGCCACACUGGAACUGAGACACGGUCCAGACUCCGUACGGGAGCAGCAGUGGGAAUAGUGGACAAGUGGCGCAAGCCUGAUCCAGCAAGUGCCGCGUGAGUGAUGGAAGGUCCGUUAGGUUAGUAAAGUCCUUACGUUUACCCGAGUAUGAUAAGUGACAGUAGUCGGAAG
rnacentral:rRNA from 1 species